AGCAGCCGCGGUAAUUCCAGCUCCAAUAGCGUAUACUAAAGUUGUUGCAGUUAAAAAGCUCGUAGUUGAAUUUCGGGGUUAGUAGGUUGGUCAUGCCACUGGUAUGUACUGGUCUCACUGAUUCCUCCUUCCUGAUGAACCGUAAUGCCAUUAACUUGGUGUUGCGGGGAGACUGGACUGUUACUUUGAAAAAAUUAGAGUGUUUAAAGCAGGCUAACGCUUGAAUACAUUAGCAUGGAAUAAUGAAAUAGGACGUUCGAUCCUAUUUUGUUGGUUUCUAGGAUUGACGUAAUGAUUAAUAGGGAUAGUUGGGGGCAUUAGUAUUCAAUUGUCAGAGGUGAAAUUCUUGGAUUUAUUGAAGACUAACUACUGCGAAAGCAUUUGCCAAGGAUGUUUUCAUUAAUCAAGAACGAAAGUUAGGGGAUCGAAGACGAUCAGAUACCGUCGUAGUCUUAACCAUAAACUAUGCUGACUAGGGAUCGGAUGAUGUUAAUUUUAUAAUGA
rnacentral:rRNA from 1 species